rnacentral:sRNA from 1 species
GCUGGGCGUAGUGGUGGGUGCCUGUAAUCCCAGCUACUUAGGAGGCUGAGGCAGGAGAAUCACUUGCGCCCAGGAGGCGGAGGGUGCAGCGAGCCGAGAUUGCGCCACUGCACUCCAUUCUGGGCAACAGAGUGAGACUCUGUCUCAC